UGGGGAAUAUUGGACAAUGGGGGCAACCCUGAUCCAGCCAUGCCGCGUGAGUGAUGAAGGCCUUCGGGUUGUAAAGCUCUUUUGGCGGGGACGAUGAUGACGGUACCCGCAGAAUAAGCCCCGGCUAACUUCGUGCCAGCAGCCGCGGUAAGACGAAGGGGGCUAGCGUUGUUCGGAAUUACUGGGCGUAAAGCGAGUGUAGGCGGUUGCCGUAGUCAGGUGUGAAAGCCUUGAGCUCAACUCAAGAAAUGCACUUGAUACUGGGUGACUAGAGGACCGGAGAGGAUAGUGGAAUUCCCAGUGUAGUGGUGAAAUACGUAGAGAUUGGGAAGAACACCAGUGGCGAAGGCGGCUAUCUGGACGGUUACUGACGCUAAGACUCGAAAGCGUGGGGAGCAAACAGGAUUAGAUACCCUGGUAGUCCACGCCGUAAACGAUGGGUGCUAGACGUUGGCGAGCUUGCUCGUCAGUGUCGCGGCUAACGCGUUAAGCACCUCGCCUGGGGAGUACGGCCGCAAGGUUGAAACUUAAAGGAAUUGACGGGGGUCAUAAGCUG
rnacentral:rRNA from 1 species